CAAGGGCUGACCCAUCAACGCCGCGUGGAGGAUGAAGGCCUUAAGGUUGUAAACUCCUGUUAGAGGAGAAGAACAGUACCGAUUGGAUCGGUAUUUGACUGUACCCUCAGAGAAAGCCCCGGCUAACUACGUGCCAGCAGCCGCGGUAAUA
rnacentral:rRNA from 1 species